UGGGGAAUAUUGGACAAUGGGCGCAAGCCUGAUCCAGCCAUGCCGCGUGAAUGAUGAAGGCCUUCGGGUUGUAAAGUUCUUUUAGUGGAGAAAAUAAUGAUGGUAUCCACAGAAAAAGCCCCGGCUAACUUCGUGCCAGCAGCCGCGGUAAUACGAAGGGGGCUAGCGUUGUUCGGAAUUACUGGGCGUAAAGGGUUUGUAGGCGGUUGAACAAGUCAGAUGUGAAAGCCCAGGGCUUAACCCUGGAAUUGCAUUUGAAACUGUUCAGCUAGAGAGUGUUAGAGGAAAGUGGAAUUCCUAGUGUAGGAGUGAAAUCCGUAGAGAUUAGGAGGAAUAUCGAUGGCGAAGGCAGCUUUCUGGGACAUUUCUGACGCUGAGAAACGAAAGCGUGGGUAGCAAACAG
rnacentral:rRNA from 1 species